rnacentral:rRNA from 1 species
UAGAGUUUGAUCCUGGCUCAGGAUGAACGCUGGCGGCGUGCUUAACACAUGCAAGUCGGACGAUGAAGCGGUGCUUGCACCGUGGAUUAGUGGCGAACGGGUGAGUAACACGUGAGUAACCUGCCCUUGACUUCAGGAUAAGCCUGGGAAACCGGGUCUAAUACUGGAUAUGACUGCCGGGCGCAUGCUCUGGUGGUGGAAAGCUUGAUGCGGUUUUGGAUGGACUCGCGGCCUAUCAGCUGGUUGGUGGGGUAAUGGCUUACCAAGGCGACGACGGGUAGCCGGCCUGAGAGGGUGACCGGCCACACUGGGACUGAGACACGGCCCAGACUCCUACGGGAGGCAGCAGUGGGGAAUAUUGCACAAUGGGCGAAAGCCUGAUGCAGCGACGCCGCGUGAGGGAUGAAUGCCUUCGGGUUGUAAACCUCUUUCAGUAGGGAAGAAGCCGCUUUUGGUGGUGACGGUACCUGCAGAAGAAGCGCCGGCUAACUACGUGCCAGCAGCCGCGGUAAUACGUAGGGCGCAAGCGUUAUCCGGAAUUAUUGGGCGUAAAGAGCUCGUAGGCGGUUUGUCGCGUCUGCUGUGAAAGCCCGGGGCUUAACUCCGGGUUUGCAGUGGGUACGGGCAGACUGGAGUGCAGUAGGGGAGACUGGAAUUCCUGGUGUAGCGGUGAAAUGCGCAGAUAUCAGGAGGAACACCGAUGGCGAAGGCAGGUCUCUGGGCUGUUACUGACGCUGAGGAGCGAAAGCAUGGGGAGCGAACAGGAUUAGAUACCCUGGUAGUCCAUGCCGUAAACGUUGGGCACUAGGUGUGGGGGACAUUCCACGUUUUCCGCGCCGUAGCUAACGCAUUAAGUGCCCCGCCUGGGGAGUACGGCCG